AUGGAGGCGGCCGGCGCGGGGAAAGCGGCGGCGCCGGCGGCCGUGUGCGUGACGGGCGCGGGAGGCUUCAUCGCCUCGUGGCUCGUCCGGCGCCUCCUAUCCAGAGGAGACUACGCGGUGCAUGGCACCGUCCGUGAUCCCAGCGACCCCAAGAAUGAUCACCUGAGGGCGCUGGACGGCGCUGGCGAGCGGCUGCGGCUGUUCAAGGCCGACGUGCUGGACUACUCGAGCGUGGCGUCCGCCGUGGCCGGCUGCGUCGGCGUCUUUCACGUCGCCAGCCCCGUGCCCGCCGCCAAAUCCGCGGACCCCGAGGCGGAGCUGCUUGCCCCGGCGGUGGCCGGCACGCUGAACGUGCUCAGGGCCUGCCGCGAGGCCGGCGUCCGCCGCGUCGUUGUGGUAUCGUCGGUCGGCGCGGUCCUCAUCAACCCCAAGCUCCCCGAGGGCCCCGCCCUGGACGAACACUGCUGGUCCGACGAGGAGUACUGCAGAACAACUGAGAACUGGUACUGCCUGUCCAAGACACUAGCCGAGCGCGAGGCACUCUCCUACGCAGAGAAGACCGGGCUAAGCGUGGUGACCGUGUGUCCCUCGCUGGUGUUCGGCCCUCUGCUGCAGCCCACGGUGAACGCCAGCAGCUUGUUCCUCAUCAAGCACUUGAAAUGCGACGACGCGGACGCCAUGGAGGACAAGGUGAGGAACAUGGUGGACGUCAGGGACGUCACCGACGCCCUUGUGCUGGCGUACGAGAGCCCGGAGGCGGCCGGCCGCUACAUCUGCAGCGCACAUGCCAGGAAGGUCUCUGAAACGGUUUCCAUCGUCAGGACCAUGUAUCCGAACCUGAACUACCCAAAGAAGUACGUUCAAGUGGGAGAUCAGAAGGUGUUCAGCUCCGAGAAGCUGCGGAGGCUGGGGUGGAAGUUCAGGACGUUGGAGGAGACGCUCAAGGACAGCGUCGAGUCCUACAUGGCUGCGGGAAUCCUAAACUGA
rnacentral:rRNA from 1 species